AUUUUUUUCUUCUUCUUUUUUUCUGUUGUAUAUAAUUCUUUUUUUUUCCUUC
rnacentral:sRNA from 1 species